GAUCCAGCCUGCCGCGUGAAGGAAUAAGGUCCUAUGGGUCGUAAACUUCUUUUGACGCAGAGCAAUAAGGAACACGUGUGUUCCGAUGAGAGUAUGCGUCGAAUAAGCAUCGGCUAACUCCGUGCCAGCAGCCGCGGUAAUACGGAGGAUGCGAGCGUUAUCCGGAUUUAUUGGGUUUAAAGGGUGCGUAGGCUGUUGGAUAAGUCAGCGGUGAAAUCACCACGCUUAACGUGUUGUGUGCCGUUGAAACUGUCUGGCUUGAAUGCGCUCGUCGUGAGAGGAAUGUGUGGUGUAGCGGUGAAAUGCAUAGAUAUCACACAGAACACCGAUUGCGAAGGCAUCUCACGAGGGCGCUAUUGACGCUGAUGCACGAAAGCGUGGGUAUCGAACAGGAUUAGAUACCCUGGUAGUCCGCGCUGUAAACGAUGAUGACUAACCGUUGGUCUGAAUGGUCAGUGGUCAAGCGAAAGCGUUAAGUCAUCCACCUGGGAGUACGGCCGCAAGGCUGAAACUCAAAGGAAUUGACGGGGCCCGCACAAGCGAGACAUGUGGUUUAAUUCGAUGAUACGCGAGGAACCUACCGGCUCGACGCGAUGAAUGUUGAAAC
rnacentral:rRNA from 1 species